CUGAACCUCAUUGUGACCUGGGAGCCCUGCAUGAUGAAGGGAUGAUGGGUGAGCUACCAAGGCUAACAUUUUCCCGAGGACAUUGAGUUAGGGAAGUGGCCUCUCCUUGAGGGAAGGAGCCAGAUGACUUCUCAGAGAACAACAACCAUAUUCAAAAUAUUCUCAAGUUUCUUUUGUUUCUUCUUGUCUGCAUCUGAUAUCCAGGACAUUAUUCCACAGGAAAAGGUUAACAGGAAAUCAAGAUCGGCCCGAUGCUGGGGAUGCCUUGGUGAAAAAAUUAGAGCAACCCAAAGGAAGUCUUGUGUUCUUGAAAGAGGAAUCAGACAAAUACACAGG
rnacentral:lncRNA from 1 species